rnacentral:rRNA from 1 species
GACGUAGGGCGCGAGCGUUGUCCGGAUUUAUUGGGCGUAAAGAGCUCGUAGGCGGCUUGUUACGUCGACUGUGAAAUCCCGCGGCUCAACUGCGGGCUUGCAGUCGAUACGGGCAGGCUAGAGUUCGGUAGGGGAGACUGGAAUUCCUGGUGUAGCGGUGAAAUGCGUUGAUAUCAGGAGGAACACCCAUGGCGAAGGCAGCUAACUGGGCAUUAUCUGACGCUGAGGCGCGAAAGCGUGGGUAGCAAACAGG